AACGAACGCUGGCGGCAUGCCUAACACAUGCAAGUCGAACGAGACCUUCGGGUCUAGUGGCGCACGGGUGCGUAACGCGUGGGAACCUGCCCUUAGGUUCGGAAUAACUCCCCGAAAGGGGUGCUAAUACCGGAUAAUGUCUUCGGACCAAAGAUUUAUCGCCUUUGGAUGGGCCCGCGUUGGAUUAGCUAGUUGGUAGGGUAAAAGCCUACCAAGGCGACGAUCCAUAGCUGGUCUGAGAGGAUGAUCAGCCACACUGGGACUGGGACACGGCGCAGACUCCUACGGGAGGCAGCAGUGGGGAAUAUUGGACAAUGGGCGAAGGCCUGAUCCAGCUAUGCCGCGUGAGUGAUGAAGGCCUUAGGGUUGUAAAGCUCUUUUACCCGGGAUGAUAAUGACAGUACCGGGAGAAUAAGCUCCGGCUAACUCCGUG
rnacentral:rRNA from 1 species